CCUGAACUGUGUGGUGAUCUAAAUGCUUCAAACUGGUGAAACCAACCUAUAUGGAUAAUAACACACUCCUGGUUAUGACUUUAUAAAGGCAUGUACUAGGCAGACCUCUACUAAAGAUUGAAGUUGAACUUUUGAAGAAAAGAAAUUGAAUUGAUCCAACUUAUUAUUAAGUUCAAGGUAUAGAAAAUGGCAUAGGGUUGUGAACCCUUUUUUGGGCAACAAAUGAUUAAACGAAAACCUAGCUGUGAGAGUACCUGAUAACUGAAAGCUUACUGUUCAUCAAAUGAAUGUACAUAUGCAACAGUUACUACAGAAAAUGUUUUGACAUUUCCUUAAAGUUGCACUGCAGAUAGAACUUUGUUUAGUUAAUUGAAAGUUAACUAUUUAUAAGAUGCCUUAAAACUCCAAAGGUUGCACCUUAGCACUGGUUGAGGGUACAUGGUCCCCAUUUUUCCCUCAUGCAAGGGUUUUUAGGGGUUUACGUGUCCAGCUUUGGUGCACUAGGUUAGUUUUAGAGCAAUUUAAGAGCAUGUAUACACAUAUCUAGAAAAACAAUGAAACUGCAAUUCAGCCAUAAUAAUAGCUACUGUGAUGUUUUAAUGACAAGUAAGGCUCAUAUAAAAACUACAUACCUGGAGUCAUCAGUUUGUUUGCUUGUUUGUUUUAUUUUUACCCAGAGAUUGGCUGUUGGUCUUAUUUCCAGGACACUACCCUUGUCACAUUUUGUAGACUCUAGGCCAGGCAUCAAAUGAAAAUUAUCUUUUCUAUGAAAGCUAUUGUUGAUUUCAAAUCAAUAAUUGCAUCAAAGCUAUUUAUUUCAAAAACAGUCACUUAAGUUUGAACAUUUGAGAAAUAAAAGCAUCAAAGCUAUUUAUUUCAAGAAUAAUCACUUGAGUUUGACCAUUUCAGAAAUAAUAGUAUCAAAGCUAAUUAUUUCAAAAAUAGUUUCUUGAGUACAACCAUUUUAGAAAUAAAAGCUUUGGAUAUGAGUUUAUUAAAUAGCUUAAUAAGCUCAAAAUUUAAAAAGUUAUUUUGGGACAAAAUAGCUAAAAAAUUUAUAGAAGUAUUUCAUUUAAUGCUCUUACCUACAUCUUCUGAAUGUGACUGGAUUAGUGUUCUGAAGAGAAAAAUUAACUUGUAUGGUUAGUUACGGUCUGCUUGUAUACAUAGGGUUUUUAAGUUUGCACUAUAACACUACAUGUAUGUUUGUUUAAUCUGAGCCUUUGAAAUCAGUCAGACUUAACUUUUGUAUCAUUUUUUAUUCCUAAGGAGAAAUUGACACUCUAAAUAAGAAUACUUCCAUACCAAAAAUUUGGAACUUGGACACAUCAUAGACUCCCCUUAAAUAAAAAUUCAUAAUUAACACUAACCCUCAACCUUAAUAAGCAACUAAUACUCAUUCAGUUAAUUAACUGAGGGGGAGUUUAGAUGUUUCGGUUCUGAUUGCAUCUUAAUAUACAAAAUGAAAAAUGGUUCAAUUGAUUUACUCUUAAAAUCAAGUCUGAUGGUAUAGUGUUCCAUCCACAUAUCUUGUAGUUAUAUUGUAUUUCAGCUACGAGCUGAUCAGUUCAAAUAAAGAAAUGAUAAGUAAUAGGUUUAAGUUGAAAGUGUAAGAAUACAGCGUAACCACGAGCCAAUCAAUAGUAGUCUGAUGUCAAUCAAACCAACCAUCAACUCUGCAUUAAACAUAUAGUUUUGAAGCA
rnacentral:lncRNA from 1 species